rnacentral:lncRNA from 1 species
GGGGGGGGGUGCUGCGGGGACCCGGGACCUACAAGUGUGGCCACACCUGCAGCAUAUCGAUUCUCACGUGAGGGGUCGAACUGGAGCUGUAGCUGCCGGCAGCAACGCUAGAUCCUUAACCCACUGAGUGAGGCCAAGAAUCGAACCUGUGUCCUCAUGGAUCCUAGUCAGAUUCAUUUCCCCUGCGCCACGACGGAAACUCCUGGACUGCUCUAGAAGGUUUCGGGCACCUACCCGGUGACUUCUGGAAUCAUCCUAGGCUUAGAGAAGGGCGACUGUAGCUUUGGCAGCUAACCACAGAGAUGUCCCUAAACAUGAAGAAACAUGGAACCCGAACUAUGUCCCCCAAGUCACAACUAUGGUUGUUCUCGUCAGUGUCUGUCUCAAGCAAACUGGUCACUUAGGCGUUUAUUUUUUCACCCAUUUUCUGUGUAAGUAGGUACUCAUUGGUGAAGUUCAAAUAAAACUAGAGGAACUAGAUAACAAAACUCAAAAAUCCGUAAGAUUUACCUUUGAGAGCCUCUCUUCAGCUUAGACUAGGGGGUCAGCGACCUACGUCCUGUGGGUUGUCUGUCUUUUCCCUCCUCUGUUUUUGUUUAGCUCAUGAUAUAGGGAUGGUUUUUACAUUUUUUUUUUUAAAGAAAUGUUGGACAAAAGAAACAAAAGGAACAGACUAUCUUGUGCCACAUGAAAAUGAUACAACGUUCUAACUGCAAUGUUUUGGAAGGGUUAUCAGAACACAGCUAUGCCCAUUUAUUUACAUUGUCUAAGGCUGCUUUGGCUACAGUAGCAAAGUUGAGUAGAUGCUACAGAGACCACAUGGCUCCCAGCCUGAAAUAUUUACUCUCUGGGCCUUUAAGAGAAAAUGUGCCUACCCUUGGUCCAGUGGAAGAUUGACAUGCAAACAAAUAAUUACUGCCUUGCGGCCUGUAUGUAACAUGCUAGACUUGCAGACAAGGGUAACUGGGAGCAGGGAGGCAGGACUUGUGCUCAUAACUAUUUCUGGGUUGGUCGGGGAAGGUUUGGUGGACAGGUCCCCUCGAGGGGAAGUAGGGGCUUUCCUGUGAUGGGAGGUGUUCCAGAAAAACUGUUCACAGCACUUGUUAAAGACGGGCGAGGGUCCAUCUCUUUCUACAGGUUUUUUUUUUUUUUUUUUUUUAAACAAUUUAAGAAUUGUGGGCAGACAGGGCAGCCCACGCAAAACCACAGGGGAGAACAAUAAAACAGCAAGAACACAACACAGGCGUGUUGGUGGACACCAUAGGUGUCUAAGGUGUGUGGCUGGAAAUGAGGAUAAACACACAUCCCCCACUGGCAGAAGGAUGACCAAGGACCUUCACGCAGAAGCAGUCGGAGGCUGACUCAGUACAGGUUAAAAGACUCACCAAAACAAGGGUACUGAACCAAGUGGCUCUCAGGUGGCCAUCUCCGUCAAAAACAGCUCAUGGAUAGUGGUCAAAGGAGGAGACUCGACGGCCUUUUCUUUUUCCUUCAUUUUUUUCAAAGAAGCCAAACGAGAACCUUGAGCGGCUGCUCCAGACAACAGUGUUCAUCGCAGGACUUGCCAAGACUGGGUGGAGAGGUCUUUACACCUAAGUCGCUCAGCUCCUCCUUUGGUAGCCUCGGUCCUGAGCGUGAACGUGAGGAUGCUGUGGCCUUUUGCCCUCGGCAUCACUGGCAUCACUACAGACGGUGCGGUGCGCACUGUCCGCAGCAAGACCUCGCAAAUGGAGGAAAAGUCAAGUGAGAGACGGUCCGCGGGGCCUUCUCUCGCCUGCCACAAACUGGCGUCAUUUUGGCUGCCAUCCCAGGGAGGAAAAGCCAGCCUCCAGAAACAGGGACGGGGGCAAUCGGGAGCUGACGUGAGAAAACUGACGUUGCUGUCCUCAGAAUGGGACAGGAAAACUGAGCAGGAAUUAACACGAGCGAAGAGUCGGCGGGAGUGCUUUUAGAGGAAGUCAAUCUAUGGGCGUUUCCAAGAAAGGAAGACGGAAUUCAGCGGGGCGCAUCAGAAAGAAAAAGAAUUAUGUCCACCACUCUCCCAACUGAUCUGCUAAAUGCAAAGACGCACACACCCCCCCUUCUUGUUUUAUCGAUUCCUGCAUCAGUGGGCACGUUUGAUGAGGGUUUGUGUUCUUUCAUUUAUGUUCUAUUACUCCAACUCCAACCACGUGUGCACAGGCGGGCACACACGUGGACACACACUCUUGUGUGAGCAUGUGCUACCCCCCACACACACACACACCCUGCAGCCUAUAAUCUUCCCCUACGCCCCUAUCCUGUUGAUCUUUCUUCAUUUAAAAAUUAUCGGCAAAGAAUUUAUUCAUUUGGGAGAAUUCCAGGCACUACACUUACGUUCAGUUCCAAUGAAAUGGGAUCCAGACUUUGCAAACUCUGCUGUUUUGCAGAUAAAACACAAAAGCGGGACCUCGUUGUUUGGAGACAUGGCCUUUUGUUUCUAAGCCAUUUUAAGCUUGCUUGGGAAGGCUCAUAACUGGGGCCGAACAUUUUUCACCACAUCUAUUUCAGGAGGGUUUUUAGUUAAGAAUAAUGAAUUUAUCUCUAAACAGAUGGAAGAGUUUUACAAAGCUAGAAAAGACACUUUUGCUAAUAUCCCCUAUAGGCUGGUCUUAAUCCUCUCAUUGUUCAAAAUGCUUGGUCUAUGAGAGACUUA